GAGGGCUUCAUGGGGUCUGUGCUCCAGGUCUGGGUGAUCGCCAACAAAGUGCAGGGCAGCCACAGCCUGAGCCGGGGUACAGUGUGUCAUCGCACCGGCGUGCAGCCUCACGAGCCCAAGGGCCACGGCUGGGACUACGGCAUCGGGGGAGGCUGGGACCAUAUCUCUGUCCGGGCCAAUGCCACCAGGGCCCCCCGGAGCUCGUCCCAGGAGCAGGAGCCGAGUGCCCCACCAGAGGCCCAUGGCCCCGUCUGCUGCUGAGGCCCCCCCACACACCUACAUGCAGGGACGGUGCCCAGUUUGGGGGAUCAAGGCUGAGCCAUUCUUGUGCUGGAGUGUGCACCAUGGGAGCAAUGUGGCCCAGGUGGACUCAGGAGGGAACCUGGCCCCAAGGCUGCGGCCACUUCAGAGGCACUGGCUGAGACGGCCCUGAAAUGUGAAGCUCCGCGGACACUCCCGCACGUGUCCCCGUCUGCGAGGAGUCCCGGGGUGUGGGGCAUGGGGUGGGGCUGCACCUCCCAGAGGCCCCUCCCACCCUUCCCUUCCCCUCUCCCUUCUGCCUUUCCAGGACUAGAACCGGGAACCUGGAGCCCUCCGGGAACACCGGCCCUGGGGCAGCAGAGCCAGGAUGGAGCCCUCCUGAGCUGGCAUCUCAGACAGCACCCGGGCCCGCCACCCCUCACCAAGAGAGACGGCCAUGGGGCUCAGGGCCUCUUUACCAUGUGCAGUGACCAUUUCUCAGAGCAGGACUUGCAAAGAGGCUUUAAUUUCAAAAGUGAAGGAAGGAGGCCGGGCGCCGUGGCUCACGCCUGUAAUCCCAGCACUUUGGGAGGCUGAGGUGGGCAGAUCACCUAGGUCAAGAGUUUCAAACCAGACUGGCCAACAUAGUGA
rnacentral:sRNA from 1 species